GUGCUAACCACUGAGCCUCUACAAAUUGAUUCUAACUUUCGUCAACGAGAAGAAUCCAGUUUUUGUUCUGGUGAAUAUCUGGAUGGCCCAGUUGCUCCACAGCCAGUUAGAUCUAUUUGAAGUAAAGUCACUGUUUUCUAUGUUAACAAAGUACAGAGCCAUUUCAUAAAGUGCAGGAUCCCACAAAGAAAUUUCAGGAGCGGAUGACAGGCUUGGAAUCCAGCAGUGAGUAACUCAUCACCUGUCCACCAUCUACAAAGCACGAGUGAGGAGUGUGAGAUAAUAUUCCCUACUUGACUGAAUGCUUCAACAACACUCAAGAUGCUUAACAACACCGAAGAUGCUUAACAACACCAUCUAGAGGGAUGAAGAGAGUAAAUACAUGGAAACAUCACCAACUAUUUCUGGAUUUUCCUGGGCCCCUGCUUGCCAGGGAAUUUUCUCCAUAACAAAGUGAGCAAUGUUUAGUCUGAUCUCUGGUGAUAAGAAUUCCAACCCAGCUCGGAAAAAUUCAAGCCAUAAUCCAGGCUAACACUUUGGGGCUACACUGCAUUGUCAGAUAUGAUUGCCUCUGAUUAAAAUGGUAAACCAAUUCUGUCAGUUUAAUUGAAUAUCAAACAUGCCGCACAGUAUUCAAAAGAGCACUAGGAGAUUCAUCCAUGGACCAAAGUAAAUCAACUGGUCAUUUAUUUAACUUGCUAUUUAGGGACUGUCUUACACAAGCACAAGCUGCCACAUUAACUUAUAUGACAAACAUCGCUGCUCUUCAAAGAUUGUCUCUUGACAGUGAAGUGUUUCCAGGACAUAAAAGGUGCUAAAUAAGAGCAAGCCCUUUCAUUUCUGCUUCAGAUGUUUGACUAAAAAAAAUCAGUUAUCUCCAUUGUUAAUGAUUCAGCAAACAUACUGGGUACGUGGCAAGCAUUUAAAACAGUGCGAUGAUUUAAAUUAAAUAAAGAACACUAACAAGUUACUUCUAUUUGUGUGGCAAUGCUGCCGGGCCCCACCAAAGCACACAGACACAUAUAUCCACACCUAUUUACAGAACCACACUAUCCUUUUAGAAAAAGUGUUAAACUCAGUCAAAAAUGCAAAUCAUUUAGUCAAAAGUAUUGUGAUGGUGUUAUGCUGUACCUAGUACGUACACAUACUAAAAAGCUUAAACGAAUUCACUUAAUUCCAGCCUGCGCUUGGAAAGAGAUUAUAAAAAUCCCCACUGUAAAACUACAAGGUUGUGAAUUUGAAUGAUCUAUUUCAUUACUAGAAUUAAUCUGUUUCAAUAGCUCAGGCUUUGCAUGAUUCAACUGCUUUAGAGAAAGACUAUCUUUCAGCAAUUACGAUGUGAAGAUCACAAGACAGCCUGUAGACAGUGCAAAGAUUAUGUUCCAAACUUAGCUAAGGGCUUGAACUAUGUCACAAGUUUUGCCACGCAACUAGCUAAGAAAACAGAAAACGCUGGAAACAUUCAGUAGGUUAGGCAGCAUCUGUUAAAAGAUCACAGUAGGGUUAACGCUUAAGGAUGAUUUUUUUUCCCAAAAGCUAUUUUAGGCUCAAGAAUAUUGAUUUUCUUUAAAUCAUCCACUUGUAGGGAAAGAGGAAAGGCUGUGUCAUGUCCCUAUGAUAAUACAAUACCACUGAUGAGAAGGAGCAAGAAGGUCUAUUUAUUUCCUUUGGUCUGGAGACAGGGAUAGCAAGGGGACAUGGGUUGGAGGGAAACAUGGCCAAGGCCCACACUGAGCCCCUAAUAUUUGGCUAACCAAUACCAAAAUGCUAGCAAUCGUAGAUUCCUUACUUACCCACCUCAGUGAAGAACAGCAAGCAGACUUAAUGCAACUGCUGUCAAGACCUUAUGGGGAGACAAAUUAGGCUGCAUAACUCUAUGAGCUCGAACUCUAACUCUAAGUGAUGUGAAAAUGAUCCCUCCCAGAAGGCAACCUCCCUAGGCCCAGAAAAGCUGGCCCACGCUCAGGAACAGAUUAACUACACGCAAGAGCAAAACAAAUAAAGCCCAGCAGCUGUAGUAAGAGCACUGAAGUUAUGCUCAUGCCCAAUCCAGUAGUUCCAUAAUGCUCUGUAUUCAUCAUAAAAAAAUGACUGGAAGCCAACUCCUACCCAAUGCCCUUGCUUGUAGAUUGCAUAGACAGGGGGAGUAAAACAGCUUACAUUACGAAGAUAGAGUUUCUCAAUGGAUAUGUUAGGUUAUCUUAACUGCUCGUGUGAAGGAAAUCUCUGCCUUUGUCACUCUAGACGGAUUAUGCCAGUAUCAAGUUAUGGCAUUUGGACUCUGAAAUGCUCCAGACAGGUUUUAAAGGCAGUUGAACCAAACAGUGGAAGGCUUACUUAGUUGUAUAGUGUACCAUGAUGACCUCCCACGUACAGUGACAUCUGGGAAAGGCACUGAGAGCAAUUGGAAGUCGUCUUCAUAAAAGACAGUCACCUGACCCAGCGGUUAAUCUCACACAGAAUAGGUUUUCCUUGGCCUAUGUGACCUAUCUCAAAUAUAAUAACAGAUCAAGCAUGAGUACUGGCCAGAGCUGCAAAGUAUCAGCACAGUUCUCCAUGUUCACAGAACAAAACAGGAAAUCAUGAGCUUCUUUGGAAUGUGUGGUUCUCUCGAACAUCAGUCUCAAGUUUCACCACGUAACUGUGCCGUUGACAAACCUACAACAAAAAAAAAGACAAUACCAGCUGAGAAAUGUCAAGCAGCAUUUUGAAAAGCUGGAAGUCUUUUCAAUAAGCAAGCCUAUACUUGCG